AAUUUUCCCUCUACAAACAGUUUCAUCUAUAAAUUUGGGUUGGGUUGAGAUGGAAGGUAAAUUGGUCAUCGCUUCCAGUUUCUUCUCGUGUGUGCUAUUUCUCGUGGUUUCAUCUAUAAAUUUGUCAUCGCUUCAGGUACUGUUGAUUUGCAAAAGAUUAGGGUUUUCGGUUUCAUCUAUAAAUUUGAAUUAUGAAUCCUUCGAUUUUCAAAUUUUUGUUGUUGGCCAGUUUAAAUUGAAGUUCUUUGUAUCCAAACUGUCUAUAAAUUAGGGAUGGAAAGGAUUGACGAUGCAGAAUGAAUGAACAGGGAGCACACACAACAACGGCGGCAGCCUCCGAUGUAGAGGCAAGGAUUCAGAUCCAUUCUAUUUUGGCCCUCAAUUUGUUUGUGAUUUUUCUUCUUGCUUCUACUCACAUCAUGUUUUAUUUUGUGCAUGUGAAAUCAGAGAUUGCUAUUCAUGAGACUGAGUAAAUAGGUAUGAUAUUUAAAAAUAUUNNNNNNNNNNNNNNNNNNNNNNNNAACAUAAAAACUUCAAUUUGAACUACUUAAUGGUAUGCAAGAGGAACUUUCAUUCAAUUUGAGCAGCAUGGAGUUUGAUUUUACUAGCUAAAUUAUCAAACCUGUUUGAAGCCUUUUUUUAGAAUGAUUACAAUCUCAUAUGAGCUUUGCAAUAAGAAACAAAAAAUACAAUGUUUGAUUCAAUGUUGGAUUGGUUUCAAAAACAUAAGAUUACUUUUUAAUGAAUGUUUUGUUUGUGAAGAAUCAAUGAAUGAUUUUUAAUGAAUGUUUUGUUUGUGAAGAAUCAAUAUUUUCUAUGCAAAAAAUAACAUGUUGAGUGUGAUACUAUUAGGUUGGGUUAAAGUGUGAUAUUCAUUUAAUAAUAACAUGCUACUUGAGAGGGAUAAAUGGUGCAGAGAAUAUGAAAACAUUGACAUCAAUCAUUUAAGGGUUGUUGAGGGGUAUUGAGUACAAAGAGUAUUUUAAUUGUUUCCUUUAAUUUCUAUGUUUGGUAUAUGUAUAUUUUGUAGGGAGGUAUUGAUUUAUAAUUGAAAGGGAAAAUUGGAACCAGCUGUGUUUGCUUUAAUAACAUGUUUAGAGUCUGGCUUCAGAUUCAAAGUCAUGCGAAGGAAUGCAUAAUGUUUGGGUGUUUUGGCACAGAACAGAUGAAACAUUACUUGCUGGCUUUGCUACAAACUAGAAGCGUUAAUGAAUGCAUUCUCUUUUUAAC
rnacentral:lncRNA from 1 species